rnacentral:rRNA from 1 species
AUUGAACGCUGGCGGCAUGCCUUACACAUGCAAGUCGAACGGCAGCGCGGGCUUCGGUCUGGCGGCGAGUGGCGAACGGGUGAGUAAUACAUCGGAACGUACCCUGUUGUGGGGGAUAACUAGUCGAAAGAUUAGCUAAUACCGCAUACGACCUGAGGGUGAAAGUGGGGGACCGCAAGGCCUCACGCAGCAGGAGCGGCCGAUGUCUGAUUAGCUAGUUGGUGGGGUAAAGGCCCACCAAGGCGACGUUCAGUAGCUGGUCUGAGGGGACGAUCAGCCACACUGGGACUGAGACACGGCCCAGACUCCUACGGGAGGCAGCAGUGGGGAAUUUUGGACAAUGGGGGCAACCCUGAUCCAGCAAUGCCGCGUGUGUGAAGAAGGCCUUCGGGUUGUAAAGCACUUUUGUCCGGAAAGAAAUCGCGCUGGUUAAUACCUGGCGUGGAUGACGGUACCGGAAGAAUAAGCACCGGCUAACUACGUGCCAGCAGCCGCCGUAA